UAUUUCAUGUAUAUUGUCAGCACUGUGAUUUAGAUUUAGAUAACACAACUUUAACUUAACUCAGAGAAUAUACAAACAUGUCUAUAUUCCCCGAUAAAACCCAUAUCCCGCCAAAGCGCCUACGAUACAUUGACAUUUAGAAUUAUUUGACAACA